rnacentral:rRNA from 1 species
GGUGAACGCUGGCGGCGUGCCUAACACAUGCAAGUCGAGCGGGUGCAGUUUGAAGCUUCGGUGGAAAGCUGCAUAGCGGCGGACGGGUGAGGAAAACGUAGGAACGUGCCCCUUGGAGUUGGAUAGCCACGGGAAACUGUGGGUAAACCGACAUAGACUCGAGAGAGUAAAGGCCGAAAGGCGCCAAGGGAGCGGCCUGCGGCCCAUCAGGUAGUUGGUAGUGUAAAGGACUACCAAGCCGACGACGGGUAGCCGGUCUGAGAGGAUGGCCGGCCACAAGGGCACUGAGAGACGGGCCCUACUCCUACGGGAGGCAGCAGUGGGGGAUUUUGGACAAUGGGCGAAAGCCUGAUCCAGCGACGCCGCGUGGAGGACGAAGCCCUUCGGGGUGUAAACUCCUUUUCUCAAGGAAAAAGGAUGAUGGUACCUGAGGAAUAAGCCCCGGCUAACUACGUG